rnacentral:rRNA from 1 species
GACGAACGCUGGCGGCGUGCUUAACCCAUGCAAUUCGAACGUAAAGGCCCUGCUUUUUUGUGGUGCUCGAGUGGCGAACGGGUGAGUAACACGUGAGUAACCUGCCCUUGACUUUGGGAUAACUUCAGGAAACUGGGGCUAAUACCGGAUAGGAGCUCCUGCUGCAUGGUGGGGGUUGGAAAGUUUCGGCGGUUGGGGAUGGACUCGCGGCUUAUCAGCUUGUUGGUGGGGUAGUGGCUUACCAAGGCUUUGACGGGUAGCCGGCAUGAGAGGGUGACCGGACACAUUGGGACUGAGAUACGGCCCAGACUCCUACGGGAGGCAGCAGUGGGGAAUAUUGCACAAUGGGCGGAAGCCUGAUGCAGCAACGCCGCGUGAGGGAUGACGGCCUUCGGGUUGUAAACCGCUUUCGCCUGUGACGAAGCGUGAGUGACGGUAAUGGGUAAAGAAGCACCGGCUAACUACGUG